rnacentral:rRNA from 16 species
GAGCGGCGAACGGGUGAGUAACACGUGAGUAACCUGCCCCUGACUCUGGGAUAAGCCUGGGAAACCGGGUCUAAUACCGGAUGUGACCUCCUCCGGCAUCGGAUGGUGGUGGAAAGUUUUUCGGUCAGGGAUGGGCUCGCGGCCUAUCAGCUUGUUGGUGGGGUAGUGGCCUACCAAGGCGACGACGGGUAGCCGGCCUGAGAGGGCGACCGGCCACACUGGGACUGAGACACGGCCCAGACUCCUACGGGAGGCAGCAGUGGGGAAUAUUGCGCAAUGGGCGGAAGCCUGACGCAGCGACGCCGCGUGGGGGAUGACGGCCUUCGGGUUGUAAACCUCUUUCAGCAGGGACGAAGUUGACGUGUACCUGCAGAAGAAGCGCCGGCUAACUACGUGCCAGCAGCCGCGGUAAUACGUAGGGCGCAAGCGUUGUCCGGAAUUAUUGGGCGUAAAGAGCUCGUAGGUGGCUGGUCGCGUCUGCCGUGAAAGCCCNCAGNUUAACUGCGGGUCUGCGGUGGAUACGGGCCGGCUAGAGGUAGGUAGGGGCAAGUGGAAUUCCU